CCCGGAAGUGCUCGUGGUCCGUCUUUGUGUUUGUGUUUAGCUUGCUGUCAAACAUCAGCGGCUCCAAAGCACCGUGAUGGAGUGAUGUGUGAGCGCAGAUGAUGGAGGAACGCUUCUCUCUCUGAGCCAGAGCCGCAUGAACCCGCCUGAACCUGGUUACAUUCGGCUGAAUCCAUGCUUUCUGAUGAACUUGACUCCAAGCCUGAGGUAUUUUGCAGUGUGAGGAGGUUACAGA